rnacentral:rRNA from 1 species
UACAGAGGUCUCAAGCGUUGUUCGGAUUCAUUGGGCGUAAAGGGUGUGUAGGUGGCGCGCUAAGUCGGGUGUGAAAUUUCGGAGCUUAACUCCGAAACUGCAUUCGAUACUGGCGUGCUUGAGGACUGGAGAGGAGACUGGAAUUCAUGGUGUAGCAGUGAAAUGCGUAGAGAUCAUGAGGAAGACCAGUGGAGAAGGCGGGUCUCUGGACAGUUCCUGACACUGAGACACGAAGGCUAGGGGAGCAAACGGG